AUUUUAAUUUACAUUAAAAAAUAAGAGAAAAGAAAAAAAAAAAAGAGCAAAAAUAACUCUUCAUCUUCCCCGCUCCACCCCACCCUACCGACCACCCAAAUCAACAGUUCUUCUCCCCACGCACCUGCCCCACCACCGGCUCACCUUUCUUGCACCUCGACCUUCGCGUAGUACAAUUCUCCUUCAAUUUCACUCUUCCUAUGGCAGCCCAUAUCUGGAAUUUGAACAAAGACGGCGACGGCGGCGAUUAUGUGCAGGAGAAGAAAAAUCUUACCUUUACACAACUCUCUCUCGCUAAGAAAUGGGUGGUGCCAAACGGCGGCGGUGACUAGGGAGAGAAAUUUCAAGGAGUAGAUGGGUAGCGGUGGUGCGAGACGGGCCAAAAUGCGGCGGUGACGAGGGAGGGAAAUUUGAAGGAGUAGGUGGGUGGCGGUGGUGCGAAACAGGCCAGAGAGCGACGGUGGUGCCCGACGAUCCAGAAGGCGGCGGUGGUGCUAGACGAGCGAGAAGGCGCGGCGAUGCUGAACUUUUUCCGGGCUGGGACGUGGGCAGAGUCGAACGAGGAAGAAGAUCUGAAAAAAUCUUUAAUUUUUGUUUCUUAUUGCAAUUUUGGAAAUUUUAAAAUUUACAAUUUGGUCCUAUAAAUUAUAGUUAUUUAUAAUUUCACCACUCAGAUUUUUUAUUUAUUUAUACAGGGGUAUCUAUGACAUUUCACCCUAGAAAUUGCAUAAAAAUUCGCAGAGCCCGCGAGUGAGAGAUACGAUUUGCGUUAAGGGGUCUAGAUGCAUUGACUUUGGUUACACGAGGGGACGUUGCCAGUGAAGAACUUGGGCAUCGGGGUCUGUCCCAGAAACGACAUCGGAAACAAUAUUCUGAAUAAUACCUCUGAACACAGUGAUCCUACCAGCACCCUGGCACCCAACUGAAUCUGAGAAGCAAGUUUUCCGCCAUUGAGGCAAUCGAUCGAACACCUGAUGGGUCGCGCAUGGAGAAGUAAGGAGAGGUGAGCUGGUUGAGCAACUCACCGGAGGAAUGCAUCUAGUUCGAUCGUCAAUGGUGAACCUGAGGGAUCUUCUGUGUUUGACAUCAUGGGUCACAAGAAACCCGACUAUCUCAGCGCGUGACAAGAACGUGCCUUUACAAGAGAAAGACGAUGGGUCUUUUGGACUCGGGAAACAUAAAGGAAAUUGAAGGCUUAAAAUUUUUACGUCAAUGUUGUAUAGAGCAACUUCCAUUGUUAAUCUUAACAAGGAAUAAAAUUUCGUAA